UAGUAAUCGCGAAUCAGAAUGUCGCGGUGAAUACGUUCCCGGGCCUUGUACACACCGCCCGUCACACCAUGAGAGUCGAUAACACCCGAAGCCUGUGAGCUAACCUUUUAGGAGGCAGCAGUCGAAGGUGGGGUUGAUGAUUGGGGUGAAGUCGUAACAAGGUAUC
rnacentral:rRNA from 1 species